AAAAAAAGGAAAUUUUUAAGAUAGUGGCUGACAGGAGAAUAUAAUAAAGAAAGUCUGAGGAAUUGUUCAGAUAAUGUAAGAUGCUACCUGGCAACAUCUUAGAGGACCUGCCUGUGAAUAACCACAAAGUCCUUCCAACUUCUUUCUGUGCUGCCUUUCAUAAACUCAGAUGUGGUCUAGCAGCCAACAGACAGAUCACAGCCUGCUGAGCGGAUCAGUAUUUUCUUGUCGUAUUGUUUUUCCCUUGGAAAAGUCAUCUCUUUUUCCUAAGCAUAAGCUGUUUCUUAUAAAAUGAAUGAAGAAGUUUGUGCAAAACUUUCUGCUAAGGAGAAAAGUUUUGAAGAGCAAUCAUUGCUGUAGCCCCUCACACAGCAAUGCUGACUUCAUGUUAAAAGCAUCUCUGAAUAGAAGGAAAUCAAUUUAAUCUGUGCAGAGCACUGUCAGGAUGUGGAAUGCCACACAGGCAUUCACCUGAACUGUUCAGUCAAUGGAGAGAAAGAAAGCACAAUUUGAUCUGUUCUGGGCAUCUUCAGUAGGGUGAGAUGAAUUGCAUCUUAAAAAUGGCUCUGUUGAAUGGUAAGGCCACUGAGACAAGGUCCAAUAUAGGCAUCUGCACUGUGAACAUCCAAAAAUCUCUGCAAUAAUGAGCUAAUUGACUGGGUUCACAGGAGAGCCCAAUGUGGAAAAGUCUUUCUGCAUCACCACUUCAGCCUUUUAGACUGGCAGCUUUAUUUAGUCUGGAGAUCCUUUUAAGGAAGAGACCAACUUUUUCCUACUUGGAAUUAGCAUUGCACUUGCAACCAGAAGUCUAAUAGGCAAGAUGGUAACUUCUGCUAACAACAGAAACUUCAUCAAGUGAACAUACACUAACAUUCGUCACAGAGCUACACCGGCGUGUGUGAUGUAAGUGCAGUCAGUAUGAUUUAUCAACAUGUACUUGAGCAUUUUGUUUUGUUUUGUUUUGUUUUAAAUGGAGUUACAUGUACUUCUGCCUAAGUGUCAAAUGGCCAAGUAACAGAACUAAAUCUAGUCCUGUCUGUAGGACAGCAGGCAAAGACUAACAUUCUGUCUCCUUUAAAGUCAGCAGUAAAUCUGUCUUUGGCCUUGAUGGCAACAGCCUUUAAAAUAAGGAGUCCAAAACAUAACACACAUAAGAUAAAAAAAGACCCAUCACAUUAUUAUUUACCAGGACUUCUCAGAUUGUAUGUUGAGGCAUCAUCACUCAGAAAAGAAAACAUCUGUAUAACAAACAGUAUUUCACAACACAUAUAUAAAGUAAACUAAGUAUUACUGGUCUCUGUUGCAGGUGAAACAUCUUUUCCACUGUCUGGUCUUUUACGCUAUUUUUUUCAUGCAUUUUACCACCUCUUUAUGCUAACUGUGGAUGAA